UACGUAGGGUGCAAGCGUUGUCCGGAAUUAUUGGGCGUAAAGAGCUCGUAGGCGGUUUGUCACGUCGGAUGUGAAAACCCGAGGCUUAACCUCGGGCCUGCAUUCGAUACGGGCUGACUAGAGUUCGGUAGGGGAGACUGGAAUUCCUGGUGUAGCGGUGAAAUGCGCAGAUAUCAGGAGGAACACCGGUGGCGAAGGCGGGUCUCUGGGCCGAUACUGACGCUGAGGAGCGAAAGCGUGGGGAGCGAAACAGG
rnacentral:rRNA from 1 species